rnacentral:tRNA from 11 species
CCGACCUUAGCUCAGUUGGUAGAGCGGAGGACUGUAGUAUGAGAGCUGAAAUCCUUAGGUCGCUGGUUCGAAUCCGGCAGGUCGGA